rnacentral:rRNA from 1 species
AGAGGAAGUAAAAGUCGUAACAAGGUUUCCGUAGGUGAACCUGCGGAAGGAUCAUUACCUAGAGUUUGUGGGCUUUGCCUGCUAUCUCUUACCCAUGUCUUUUGAGUACCUUACGUUUCCUCGGUGGGUUCGCCCACCGAUUGGACAAAUUUAAACCCUUUGCAGUUGAAAUCAGCGUCUGAAAAAACUUAAUAGUUACAACUUUCAACAACGGAUCUCUUGGUUCUGGCAUCGAUGAAGAACGCAGCGAAAUGCGAUAAGUAGUGUGAAUUGCAGAAUUCAGUGAAUCAUCGAAUCUUUGAACGCACAUUGCGCCCCUUGGUAUUCCAUGGGGCAUGCCUGUUCGAGCGUCAUUUGUACCUUCAAGCUCUGCUUGGUGUUGGGUGUUUGUCUCUUGUAGACUCGCCUUAAAACAAUUGGCAGCCGGCGUAUUGAUUUCGGAGCGCAGUACAUCUCGCGCUUUGCACUCAUAACGACGACGUCCAAAAGUACAUUUUUACACUCUUGACCUCGGAUCAGGUAGGGAUACCCGCUGAACUUAAGCAUAUCAAUAAGCGGAGGAAAAGAAACCAACAGGGAUUGCCCUAGUAACGGCGAGUGAAGCGGCAACAGCUCAAAUUUGAAAUCUGGCGUCUUCGGCGUCCGAGUUG